rnacentral:rRNA from 1 species
AUUGAACGCUGGCGGCAGGCCUAACACAUGCAAGUCGAGCGGGGUUUUCGGACCUAGCGGCGGACGGGUGAGUAAUGCGUAGGAAGCUACCCGAUAGAGGGGGAUACCAGUUGGAAACGACUGUUAAUACCGCAUAAUGUCUACGGACCAAAGUGUGGGACCUUCGGGCCACAUGCUAUCGGAUGCGCCUACGUGGGAUUAGCUAGUUGGUGGGGUAAUGGCUCACCAAGGCGACGAUCCCUAGCUGGUUUGAGAGGAUGAUCAGCCACACUGGAACUGAGACACGGUCCAGACGCCUACGGGAGGCAGCAGUGGGGAAUAUUGGACAAUGGGCGCAAGCCUGAUCCAGCCAGGCCGCGUGUGUGAAGAAGGCCUUCGGGUUGUAAAGCACUUGCAGUAGGGAGGAAGCGUUGUGUGUUAAUAGUACACAGCGUUGACGUUACCUACAGAAGAAGCACCGGCUAACUCUGUGCCAGCCGCCGCGGUAACAC